rnacentral:rRNA from 1 species
AACGAACGCUGGCGGCAUGCCUAACACAUGCAAGUCGAACUAGACCUUCGGGUCUAGUGGCGCACGGGUGCGUAACGCGUGGGAACCUGCCCUUAGGUUCGGAAUAACUCCCCGAAAGGGGUGCUAAUACCGGAUAAUGUCUUCGGACCAAAGAUUUAUCGCCUUUGGAUGGGCCCGCGUUGGAUUAGCUAGUUGGUAGGGUAAAAGCCUACCAAGGCGACGAUCCAUAGCUGGUCUGAGAGGAUGAUCAGCCACACUGGGACUGAGACACGGCCCAGACUCCUACGGGAGGCAGCAGUGGGGAAUAUUGGACAAUGGGCGAAAGCCUGAUCCAGCAAUGCCGCGUGAGUGAUGAAGGCCUUAGGGUUGUAAAGCUCUUUUACCCGGGAUGAUAAUGACAGUACCGGGAGAAUAAGCUCCGGCUAACUCCGUG